UUGACCUCGGAAUCGGGUAAGAAUACCCGCUGAACUUAAGCAUAUCAAUAAGACGGAAGGA
rnacentral:rRNA from 1 species